rnacentral:lncRNA from 1 species
GCAGUAUUUAAAGUGUGUGGAUGGAUGAAUGCUAAAAAAAAAAAAAAAAAAAUUAUGCAUAGGCUCUAUGAGAAAUGAGCUUCAUCUUUGAUUUUUUUAAUGAAGAAUUUUAUUACCUUUUAAACAGUGAACUGUAUGUAGAAAUAUCGGGGUUUUUCUUCUAUAUUAUUGAGUAGUCGUAAAAUGCAACUAAACUGUGUGUUUGGCCAGAAGCUAGGUGACGGGAUGAAUGGAAGCCGGUAAUAUCUGGGAUUUAUGAGACGAUUCUGGAUAGGAUUUUCUAGCAAAAUAUACAGUAACCUGUAUGUUAUCAUCUCAAGCUGCUGGAUUGGACAACUUGUAAAAUAAUUAUUUAUCCUCAUAUUUCCAAAACUUGGACUACUACCAUAGGAUAAAAUAUAUACUCUGUAUACCCAAAUUAUAUUUUUCAAAGAUAAGAUAUAAUAAUGCAUUGUUAUUCCUAAUAUAUCUUUUAGCUAUGGAUGGAAAACCCAAGCUUCACUGUCUAAACAGGACUUCUGCUUAGAACCUAAUAGACUAGGCUUUCGGGGAGAAGGGGGCAUAGAGAUAUCCUAGAAAAGAAAGACCCGUUUACAUAUUCCCCAGGGACCUCACAGUCUUUAUGUGAGAUCCUUGAAGCAAGCACGCUGGGGAAUUCCGCGUGUGUCGGGACUCCAUUUUUAUCUCCAGUGCCUAGCCACAUACUUCAGCAGCUGUGUUCAUUGUUUAUAACAGGUCCAUAUGACAACUGAGCUAGUAUUCAGUUAUGGAUGUGAUACUAUGAAGUGCUUUUGAUAAGAUGAAAAAUGCCUAAUAACAAAGUUAUUUUUCUUACAUGGUUGUGCUGUGUUUUGUCCUGACACCCAGUCCUAAAGAAGUCUGUAUACAAGGUGAUGGACAAAGAAGUUUCUCUUAGGAGCCAGAACCCGCAUUCUGGGUAGGCUACCCGCUGGGGGGCUGGCUGUAGUCCCAGCAUUUGAGUCUGAGCCAAGGUCUUAGGACCCAGCUUCCACUGAAUCUGAGUCUCAGAGGCUCACCUCCCCAGUUGGGGUAAUCCCCCGGGACCCCCAUGGUGGGCUUUUCAACCCGGAACUCUCUGAAGACCUUUGGAGAUGCUUUAGGAGAAACUUGUGAGGGCCCCCCACCCCCCACCCCCGCAAC